GGGAGGCAGCAGUGAGGAAUAUUGGGCAAUGGAGGCAACUCUGACCCAGCCAUGCCGCGUGCAGGAAGACUGCCCUAUGGGUUGUAAACUGCUUUUAUACAGGAAGAAUAAGCCUUACGUGUAGGUUGAUGACGGUACCGUAAGAAUAAGGACCGGCUAA
rnacentral:rRNA from 1 species